CCAAUAGCGUAUAUUAAAGUUGUUGCAGUUAAAAAGCUCGUAGUUGAACUUCGGGGUUUACUCAUUGGUCAGGCUUAAUUGUCUGUACUGGUGAGAUGAAUCUCUACCUUCUGAGGAACUUUCAUGUCAUUUAUUUGGUGUGAUUGGAAAUCAGGACUGUUACUUUGAAAAAAUUAGAGUGUUUAAAGCAGGCUAACGUCUGAAUACAUUAGCAUGGAAUAAUGAAAUAGGACGGACUGAUUCUAUUUCGUUGGUUUCUAGGAUCACCGUAAUGAUUAAUAGGGAUAGUUGGGGGCAUUAGUAUUCAAUUGUCAGAGGUGAAAUUCUUGGAUUUAUUGAAGACUAACUACUGCGAAAGCAUUUGCCAAGGAUGUUUUCAUUAAUCAAGAACGAAAGUUAGGGGAUCGAAGACGAUCAGAUACCGUCGUAGUCUUAACCAUAAACUAUGCCGACUAGGGAUCGGACGAAGUUAAUUUUAUAAUGACGCGUUCGGCACCCUACG
rnacentral:rRNA from 1 species